UCUUCCUCGCGUCCAACCAAACAUCGCUCGAGUCCCAGAGAGACAGAGAGAGACAGAGAGAGAAAGAGCUCUGCCGGCGAAGUUUGAAGAACAUGACGGGCCAAAAGAAGCACUAGCGGGGUGAUAGGGGCGGGACGUCCGAGCCGCGAGCGCGGGGGACGUCGACGACGACGUCGGAGGGAUCUUCAGCCCGCCCACGAGGACGAGAGGAUCGUACGGCGACCUUGCCGACGGGGCAGCGUCCGGGCGCCGCAGGGAAUAGCACCGGCUCGGACAUAGUGACUCCGUCGGGGAGUGGCGCGCCUGCGACACGGCGGCGCCAGCCUAGUUCUGAGGAAGUCGUCGUGCCUCCUGUGGCAGGAGAGCUGACCCCUGCCGAGGCGCCACUGCGCGACCCUAGCAACGGAAGGGACGCCCGUGCAGAAACAACGGCGGCGGCGGGCGCCGACGCGCCUGCGGCACACCUGCCUGCCCUUCCACCGGUGAAACGCCAAAUCAUCCUCCUUGAUCGGCCGCCGC